rnacentral:rRNA from 1 species
AAACCAGCACCUCAAGUGGUCAGGAUGAUUAUUGGGCCUAAAGCAUCCGUAGCCGGCUCUGUAAGUUUUCGGUUAAAUCUGUACGCUCAACGUACAGGCUGCCGAGAAUACUGCAGAGCUAGGGAGUGGGAGAGGUAGACGGUACUCGGGAGGAAGUGGUAAAAUGCUUUGAUCUCUCGAUGACCACCUGUGGCGAAGGCGGUCUAUCAGAACACGUCCGACGGUGAGGGAUGAAAGCUGGGGGAGCAAACCGGAUUAGAAACCCCAGUAGUCC